AGCAGCCGCGGUAAUUCCAGCUCCAAUAGCGUAUAUUAAAGUUGUUGCAGUUAAAAAGCUCGUAGUUGAAUUUCGGGGUCAGUAGAUUGGUCAUGCCACUGGUAUGUACUGGUCUUACUGGCUCCUCCUUCCUGAUGAACCGUAAUGCCAUUAAUUUGGUGUUGCGGGGAGACUGGACUGUUACUUUGAAAAAAUUAGAGUGUUUAAAGCAGGCUAACGCUUGAAUACAUUAGCAUGGAAUAAUGAAAUAGGACGUUCGAUCUUAUUUUGUUGGUUUCUAAGAUUAACGUAAUGAUUAAUAGGGAUAGUUGGGGGCAUUAGUAUUCAAUUGUCAGAGGUGAAAUUCUUGGAUUUAUUGAAGACUAACUACUGCGAAAGCAUUUGCCAAGGAUGUUUUCAUUAAUCAAGAACGAAAGUUAGGGGAUCGAAGACGAUCAGAUACCGUCGUAG
rnacentral:rRNA from 1 species